rnacentral:rRNA from 1 species
GGGUCCGGACACACUGAGGAUUGACAGAUAUAUAUACACCGUCGGUACUUGUAUCGCGGUGUUGAAAGAUGCUAGUUCUUUCAUGAUUAUGUGAUAGGUGGUGCAUGGCCGUUCUUAGUUCGUGGAGUGAUCUGUCUGCUUAAUUGCGUAUCAUAAAAAGAGACCUAGUAUACGCGUAAGAUAUCGUUUACGGCUCGUGACCCCCUUCGGGCGUGUGUCGCACGUACGUAUCAUACGCACAGGUCUCCGAUAGCAACGAACGUGACCGUACUCUACUGUUGCAGCGAAUGUAUGCAUCUUCGGGUGUAUCUACCGCUGCUUAGCAUAUUUCAUGCCUCGUGCGUGUGUAUGCAUUAAACUAUAGAGACCGCUGUAUUUUUUUUAAACCAGAGGAAGGAUACGGCAAUAACAGGUCUGUGAUGCCCUCAGAUGUUCCGGGCUGCACACGUGCUACAAUGAUCAUUGCACUGUGCAUCUAACCCAAUGUGCGUGGACGCCACGGUAUGUAUUUAUGCUUCGGCGUAGUAUAUAUCAGUUGGUCGGCCGCGCCGAGCCUACUUCGAAAGUAAAAUUUCUCAGUGGGU